GACGAACGCUGGCGGCGUGCUUAACACAUGCAAGUCGAACGGAAACGCCCUGCUUUUUUGGGGUUCUCGAGUGGCGAACGCGUGCGUAACACGUGAGUAACCUGCCCUUCACUUUGGUAUAACUUCAGGUAACUGGGGCUACUCUCGUAUCGGAUCUCCUGCUGCAUUGUGGGCGUUGGAUAUUCUCGGCUGUUGGGGAUGGACUCGCGGCUUAUCAGCUUGUUGGUGGGGUAGUUGCUUACCCAGCCUUUGAAGGGUAGCCGGCAUGAGAGGGUGACCGGGCACAAUGGGACUGAGAGACGGCGCAGACUGCAACGGGAGGCAGCAGUGGGGAAUAUGGCACAAUGAGCGGAAGCCGGAGGCAGCAACGCCGGGUGCGGGAAGACGGCCUGUGGGGUGUAAAAAGCAGUAGCCUGUGACGAAGCGGGAGUGACGGUAAUGGAUAAAGAAGCACCGGCUAACUACGUG
rnacentral:rRNA from 1 species